AGAAAGAGAAGGAAGGAGAAAACAGGAAGUUAUAUGCUCUUCCGAAUUGUUAUGCUAUCGUUGACAUAAUAAUUUAUGGAGAUAGGAGAAUAUGGGAAUAAUCGACCUUUCUUCAGAAGAGGUAUUCAGUUUGAAGAUAGCAGGUCAGAUUCUGGACAUUUGGAAGUAGGAAUCACGAGGGGAACAAAACUACAAAGAAAGGACUUUGUAGAAAAUUGUGGUUAUUUUCACCAUCCGUAAAGCAUCCUUUCUCCCCUCUACCUACUUGGUAGCAGUCCAAGAGAUUCUGCCGGCGCCUGGUCCACUAGAACGGCAGUGGAUGUGGACGAAUGAAAUGAGUUCCAUCUCCUCUAAUAUCUGAAUAGAAAUGAAGAAUAAAACUUCACUUUAAAUGACGUAAAAUCCAUGUUUAGUAUGAAGAAAGCAUUACUCUGCACGAAACGACAGUUGUCAUCUUGGCAGAGAUGAGAUAGCUGAGAUUCUUUAAUCAUCCCCAC